rnacentral:tRNA from 1 species
GAGGGUAUAGCUAAGUGGUAGAGUGCAUGCCUAGCAUGCACGAGGUCCUGGAUUCAAUCCCCAAUACCUCCA